GACAGCCGUAGCCGAGUGGUAGCGCACGCGACUUUGAUUCGCUAGGGCGUGGGUUCGAGGCCCGCCUCGGUCU